rnacentral:rRNA from 1 species
GUGGCGAACGGGUGAGUAAUGUAUCGGAACGUACCAUUCAGUGGGGGAUAACGUAGCGAAAGUUACGCUAAUACCGCAUAUUCUGUGCGCAGGAAAGCAGGGGAUCGCAAGACCUUGCGCUGAUUGAGCGGCCGAUAUCAGAUUAGCUAGUUGGUGGGGUAAAAGCUCACCAAGGCGACGAUCUGUAGCGGGUCUGAGAGGAUGAUCCGCCACACUGGAACUGAGACACGGUCCAGACUCCUACGGGAGGCAGCAGUGGGGAAUUUUGGACAAUGGGGGCAACCCUGAUCCAGCCAUGCCGCGUGAGUGAGGAAGGCCUUCGGGUUGUAAAGCUCUUUCGGCCGGGAAAAAAUCGCAUGGGUUAAUACCCUGUGUGGAUGAUGGUACCGGAAUAAGAAGCACCGGCUAACUACGUGCCAGCAGCCGCGGUAAUACGUAGGGUGCGAGCGUUAAUCGGAAUUACUGGGCGUAAAGCGUGCGCAGGCGGUUUUGUAAGACAGGCGUGAAAUCCCCGGGCUCAACCUGGGAACUGCGCUUGUGACUGCAAGGCUAGAGUAUGGCAGAGGGGGGUGGAAUUCCACGUGUAGCAGUGAAAUGCGUAGAGAUGUGGAGGAACACCAAUGGCGAAGGCAGCCCCCUGGGCCAAUACUGACGCUCAUGCACGAAAGCGUGGGUAGCAAACAGGAUUAGAUACCCUGGUAGUCCACGCCCUAAACGAUGUCAACUAGGUGUUGGGAGGGUAAAACCUUUUAGUACCGGAGCUAACGCGUGAAGUUGACCGCCUGGGGAGUACGGCCGCAAGGUUAAAACUCAAAGGAAUUGACGGGGACCCGCACAAGCGGUGGAUGAUGUGGAUUAAUUCGAUGCAACGCGAAAAACCUUACCUACCCUUGACAUGUCCAGGAGCCUGAAGAGAUUUGGGUGUGCCCGAAAGGGAACUGGAACACAGGUGCUGCAUGGCUGUCGUCAGCUCGUGUCGUGAGAUGUUGGGUUAAGUCCCGCAACGAGCGCAACCCUUGUCGUUAAUUGCCAUCAUUUAGUUGGGCACUUUAACGAGACUGCCGGUGACAAACCGGAGGAAGGUGGGGAUGACGUCAAGUCCUCAUGGCCCUUAUGGGUAGGGCUUCACACGUCAUACAAUGGUCGGUACAAAGGGUUGCCAACCCGCGAGGGGGAGCCAAUCCCAGAAAGCCGAUCGUAGUCCGGAUUGCAGGCUGCAACUCGCCUGCAUGAAGUCGGAAUCGCUAGUAAUCGUGGAUCAGCAUGUCACGGUGAAUACGUUCCCGGGUCUUGUACACACCGCCCGUCACACCAUGGGAGCGGGUUCCGCCAGAAGUAGGUAGCCUAACCGCAAGGGGGGCGCUUACCACGGCGGGGUUCGUGACUGGGGUGAAGUCGGAACAAGGUA